rnacentral:rRNA from 1 species
GAUGAACGCUGGCGGCGUGCCUAAUACAUGCAAGUCGAGCGAGCAGACGAGGAGCUUGCUCCUCUGACGUUAGCGGCGGGCGGGUGAGUAACACGUGGAUAACCUACCUAUAAGACUGGGAUAACUUCGGGAAACCGGAGCUAAUACCGGAUAAUAUAUUGAACCGCAUGGUUCAAUAGUGAAAGACGGUUUUGCUGUCACUUAUAGAUGGAUCCGCGCCGCAUUAGCUAGUUGGUAAGGUAACGGCUUACCAAGGCAACGAUGCGUAGCCGACCUGAGAGGGUGAUCGGCCACACUGGAACUGAGACACGGUCCAGACUCCUACGGGAGGCAGCAGUAGGGAAUCUUCCGCAAUGGGCGAAAGCUUGACGGAGCAACGCCGCGUGAGUGAUGAAGGUCUUCGGAUCGUAAAACUCUGUUAUUAGGGAAGAACAAAUGUGUAAGUAACUAUGCACGUCUUGACGGUACCUAAUCAGAAAGCCACGGCUAACUACGUG